UACGGAGGGGGCUAGCGUUGUUCGGAAUUACUGGGCGUAAAGCGCGCGUAGGCGGCUUUGUAAGUUAGAGGUGAAAGCCCGGGGCUCAACUCCGGAAUUGCCUUUAAGACUGCAUCGCUAGAAUCGUGGAGAGGUAAGUGGAAUUCCGAAUGUAGAGGUGAAAUUCGUAGAUAUUCGGAAGAACACCAGUGGCGAAGGCGGCUCACUGGACUGGUAUUGACGCUGAGGUGCGAAAGCGUGGGGAGCAAACAGG
rnacentral:rRNA from 1 species